CGGUAAGACGGACCCAUGGGAUGAGAUGGAACCUCCCCCCAUCUAAUCUCAGGCAGAAAGGAAGAGGUUCAAAAUUUAACGUCACGCAACAACGACGUCAUUGCUGCCAGCAGUGCCAGUAAUGCAUGCUCAGUGCUCCUUGUGCUUCUGAGUGGAGGUUUGUUCUUUUACGUAGUGCUGAUGUUAUAUGCGCAAGAUGCCUCGAAAAUAUGUACGAGUUAGUAGCAGAGGGGAAUGGACUGAGGCAGCUAUGGAAAGAGCAAUAGCUGCAGUUAGAGGAAAACAUGGGCUUGAAGAAAGCUUCAAAAAGAAUUCAACGUGCCUAAGGGUACAGUCGGGCGCCGUGCCUGUGACAAGAAUAAGACAGCAACUGGAUCCACUAAGAUGCUUGGCCCUAUCAGGACUGUAUUCAAUGCUGCACAAGAGGCAGAGUUGGUGACUCACAUUUUGUCAAUGGAGGCUCGAUUUUUCAAACUGACUACACGGGAUGUUCGCUACAUUGCCUUCCAUGCAGCAAGGAGAAAUAAUGUGGACCACAAAUUUAACAAAGAGGUUGGACUGGCGGGUAAGGACUGGCUACUGGGAUUCCAUCGCCGUCAUCCACAACUUGUAAUUCGAACCCCAGAAGCAACUUCUGCUGCAAGAGCAAAAUUAUUCAACCCCAGAAACGAUGGCAAGUUCUUUGACAUUUCAUCCUUAGCGCAAGCAGACCAUUUUUUUUUUUUUUUUUCCUCCGCACAGGAUUUUCAAUGUCGAUGAGACAAGUGUUAAAACGCUGCAAAAUUCUAAUUUUGCCACCACACUGUAGUCACCGAAUGCAACCACUGGAUGUUUCCUUUAUGAAACUGUUGGAUGCCUACUAUGUGAAGGCUGUUGAAACAUUGCUCACAAACAGUCCUGGUAGGCAGGUGACUGUCUACAAGCUAAGUGCAUUAUUCGGAGAGGCCUAUCCACAGGCUGCUGUUCCAAAUACAGCCAUCAGUAGUUUUAGGAAAACGGGAAUUUUUCCAUUGAACAGCCAGGUUUUUGGCGAAGGUGACUAUUUACCUGCCCACCCAACAGAUAUUCCAUUCGAAGGUGAGCAAGAAGAGGAAGAUCUAGACGAACCAGUUGCCCAGCCAAUCAUGGCCCUGGAGAAUGAAUCUGACUUGGAAGCUGUUGAGCCAGAAAAUUCCAGUGUUUUGGUGCCAAAAGUUGCUCGGAGACUGUUCAAGCCAGGUAGUUCACCCCAGGACAUAAUUCUGAGAGGAGAAGGGUGGGUUUGUUGUGCUAUUUGCAAACGCUGGGCUCAUGAGCAAUGAGCGGGGAUAGAUGAUGAUGAGGAAGAGGUUUUUGUGUGUGAUUUGUGCCAGUAAGGAUUUGCUACUUCAUGUUCAGUUCGAGGGGCAAGAUGAACCCCUGAAGUCCAUCUUAUCCCGCCAUUUUGUUUUUGGUCCAAUAAAACUUUUGAUUUUGUAA